CACUAUCGUUAACUGAAUACAUAGGUUAACGAGGCGAACCGGGGGAACUGAAACAUCUAAGUACCCCGAGGAAAAGAAAUCAACCGAGAUUCCCCCAGUAGCGGCGAGCGAACGGGGAGCAGCCCAGAGUCUGAAUCAGCUUGUGUGUUAGUGGAACGGUCUGGAAAGUCCGACGGUACAGGGUGAUAGUCCCGUACACCAAAAUGCACAGGCUGUGAACUCGAAGAGUAGGGCGGGACACGUGGUAUCCUGUCUGAAUAUGGGGGGACCAUCCUCCAAGGCUAAAUACUCCUGACUGACCGAUAGUGAACCAGUACCGUGAGGGAAAGGCGAAAAAGAACCCCGGCGAGGGGAGUGAAAAAGAACCUGAAACCGUGUACGUACAAGCAGUGGGAGCACCUUCGGGUGUGACUGCGUACCUUUUGUAUAAUG
rnacentral:rRNA from 1 species